rnacentral:rRNA from 1 species
CUCGUAGGUGGUUUGUCGCGUCGUCUGUGAAAUUCCGGGGCUUAACUCCGGGCGUGCAGGCGAUACGGGCUGACUUGAGUGCUGUAGGGGAGACUGGAAUUCCUGGUGUAGCGGUGAAAUGUGUAGAUAUCGGGAAGAACACCAAUGGCGAAGGCAGGUCUCUGGGCCGUCACUGACGCUGAGGAGCGAAAGCGUGGGGAGCGAACA